CCAAGUAGCUCAGCUGGUUAGAGCGCCGGCCUGUCACGCCGGAGGUCGAGGGUUCGAGCCCCUUCUUG
rnacentral:tRNA from 1 species